GAGCUAAUACCGGAUAAUAUAUUGAACCGCAUGGUUCAAUAGUGAAAGACGGUUUUGCUGUCACUUAUAGAUGGAUCCGCGCCGCAUUAGCUAGUUGGUAAGGUAACGGCUUACCAAGGCAAUGAUGCGUAGCCGACCUGAGAGGGUGAUCGGCCACACUGGAACUGAGACACGGUCCAG
rnacentral:rRNA from 1 species